CGCUAUCGAAAAUCAUGCAUUGGAUGGAUGCCCGGGCAUUGAGAAGGAAGGACGCUUUCAGAGGCGAAAGGCCAUGGGGAGAGAUUUUUCUGUGAUCCAUGGAUCUCCGAUCGGGAAACCGUAUCCAAGCUCCAUGGCUAGUCUGCGCUCUUUGGAGUUUUCAAACUUAGCGAACUGAAACAUCUGAGUAGCUAAAGGAAGGAAAAUCAACCGAGACCCCGUUAGUAGCGGCGAGCGAGAGCGGAACAAGGGUUUUCAUCAAAAGAAAUCCGAAGCGGUUUCAUUCGAUUUGUUGUGGAUUGGAUGAUGGAAAACCAGCAAGCAGCAAGCGUAGAUAGAAAAUUUGCCGUAGCGCGCCCUACGGAGUUGUACAAAGUCAGCAACCGUUUUGGGGCACAAGCAUAGGCAACAUAGGACUGAUGACGGGGUGGGGCGUGCAGUGAACUGGUUUUCUAAAAAGAUUGGAAGAUCCGGCCAAAGAAGGUGAUUGCCCUGUUCAUUCGUUCCCAUGGUUCGAUCCUUCCCAGUAAAAUGCGGCGUGUUCGAAUGAUGAUCGCUUUUACGCGAGAAAGGGGGACCACCCUCUAAGCCUAAGUAUUCCUCAAUGACCGAGAGCGUACAAGUACCGUGAGGGAAAGGUGAAUAUAACCCCAAUCGGGGAGUGCAAUAGAGAACCUGAGAUCCGAUGCGAACAAUCAAAGGAGCGGAGCGCGGGCGCACUCAGUCUAACGGCUUACCUUUCGCAUGAUGGGUCAGCGAGGAAAUGGGAACAUCGGCUUAAGCCAUUAGGUGUAGGCGCUUUCCAGAGGUGGAAGAUUUACGUUCUUCCUAUUUGACCCGAAACCGAUCGAUCUAGCCAUGAGCAGGUUGAAGAGAGCUCUAACAGGCCUUGGAGGACCGAACCCCCGUAUGUGGCAAAAUACAGGGAUGACUUGUGGCUAGGGGUGAAAGGCCAACCAAGAUCGGAUAUAGCUGGUUUUCCGCGAAAUCUAUUUCAGUAGAGCGUAUGAUGUCGAUGGCCCGAGGUAGAGCACUCAAUGGGCUAGGGUGGCCCCCAUUUCGCUUUACCAACCCCAGGGAAACUCCGAAUACAGGCCGUCAUCCUUAGUACAGACAGACUGAUUGGGUGCUAAGAUCCAAAGUCGAGAUGGAAACAGCCCAGAUCGUACGCUAAGGUCCCUAAGCAAUCACUUAGUGGAAAAGGAAGUGAUCGAGCGAUGACAACCAGGAGGUGGGCUUGGAAGCAGCCAUCCUUUGAAGAAAGCGUAAUAGCUCACUGGUCUAGCUCCAUGGCACCGAAAAUGUCUCAGGGCUCAAGUGAUUCACCGAAGCGACGAGACCUUGAAAG
rnacentral:ncRNA from 1 species